UACACCGCUGGCGGUUGAAAUACCGCUGAAAGUGAAAAUACAGCCGCAAAAGGUGCAGUAUGGUAGCCGGGGCGAAACCCUUAGUUGUAUAGCGUGGCGAAUUACUGCAAGGCGAUAAGA
rnacentral:ncRNA from 1 species